rnacentral:ncRNA from 1 species
UCCAGUGACGCAGGGUGCCUGUUGGAUACAACCCUUUAUCAGGCUGAGAUCAUACCUGUUGAACCUGACCCGGUUAGUACCGGCGUAGGGACUGUCGUUAUGCUAUUGA